AAGAAUAUAUAUACUUUAUGGGGUCGGAGAUCUCGUUCUACUUUUUAAUAAUAUCCCCUUUCUGCGGAAGGCACACCACUUGCCGAGCUCAUCGCAAGUCUUAGGUUUUUAUUACAGUGUAGCUGCAACUCACCAUACAAUUGCAAGAAUUUCUGUACACACACACAUUCUCGCUCGUCUUUAUUGAGUUUAAUCAACAGUAUUGCAAUUUCGAUUGUACUGUUUUUGUGCUAGUGUUUAAAUCCAUUUUUUUCUCAUUGGCUCCAUUGUUUGUGUGGCUGCUAAGUAGAGGCAGCUUUAACUUAAAACUUGUAAGUAUUGCGGUCUGUUACGAGUGCAAGUCCUUUGUGAAAACUAUUAUAUUCCAGUGUCAGAUUAGACAAUGCAUACACACAAGGUAUCCCUAUCCCUCGAAGCUCUGGGUUGCCGGCAGAAACGCCGGCAUCUCGAUGAGUCAGCGGCUCGUGACCGUCCAUCGUUUUUCACUCAGCGAGCGCAUGCGAGGUUAUCGGGUAUCGUUGCCUGUUCAGCAGCCAAAAUCAUCUGACCGUUGCAUCACGGGCAUCGAGUACCGCGUUCCACUCAGCAACAACUUUGUUGCGCGUGUUAAAUCCUCCCACAAAUAAGUGAGGGUCGUCCUCAGUGCUCCUUGGAUAAGCUUCAGGGUCCUGGGUGUUCUCAGAUAUGGACUGACGUGUCCGUUUCAGAUGACGCAAGAUGAUCACCGUGACACAGCUGCUCAUGAUGGGUUUUGAUAGUAUAUCGUCUUUCAAUUCGCUUAUGUGCUGCGAGCAUGUCUUCCAAAUCUAAAAUUAUUUUAUUACUUUGUACGGGACAAACAAUGAUUUUCUUACAAACUAGUUGAGGGAUUGGGAAUAUAAUUAGGAAGUGUACGGUGUGAUUAUUUUGGAAAGCUUUAAUACUAGAUACUUUCAAAAUGCUAACUACACCAACGUUUGUGAGAUGACUGCUCGGAUGUUGACGUUGUUUAGGAUAGAUGCGCUUGUUCUAGUGUCUUUUCCUCGGGCUCUUGGAUUUUAUCUUUUAUGUCCCUCUCCACAUUGGCGCAAGCAGAUUGAAUUAGCUCGGUAAUUUUUUUACUUGUUAUCAAGUGUAUUGUACGAUCAGUCAUAAGUACCAAUUCCACCGUGUCGUAGAUUUUUGGAUCGAUCUUUAUACAAAGAGCUAUUUCAGUGAGGUUGCUAUGGAACCUUUCAACUUGCCCAUUUGACGAUGUGGAUGUUGAAGCUGUUCAAUAAAACGGACUUGAUGGCUUCGGAGAUCAGCGAUUUCUCGUUAUCGCAGUAGAUUGUAGAAAUUUUUGGGAAAAGGCUGACCAAUUGGAUAAUUGGAAAUUUAAUAUCUACUAUGGAGUUUGGAGAACUCUACUAUGAGUUUGGAGAAUUUACCGAUACUGGUGAGGAAGGACUUUCUUUCUGACCGAGGGUUUGCUUGAUCGGGUGGCGAUUGUAUUUUGCCAUCGAGCAGGUUCUGCAAUUAAGUGCUACUUCCGUAGCUAGCUUAGCCAUCUAUGGAAAGAAAUAGUUCGUUAAGACUUGUUUCACGUUCUCUUGGGCUACGCGAUGAGCGCGGUUAUGUUCAGUUACCAUUAUCUCCUUUUGUUCGGAGAGUUCGGUAAUGUCUGUGACAAGAAAUUUAGAGUGAUUAAAUGUUAUCGAAGGGAAUGUUUCGACUAUUUUGUAUUUGUGAUAAAUGCCAAUAUCGGUAGCUCGCAAUGGAUUGCGUUAACUAUAUCGACCCUUACUGCUCUAACAAAGUUUUCCAUAGCGUGUCGCGUUCGGAGAAUCUAAUUACGUGCCUAAUUUUUUCUUUAAAAUAAAUGAAAUUUGAUACAUGCUUCUUUUGUUAUAAUCUUAUUACGGAAACAGUUAACUGACUUGUUAACAGUUGUUAAACAGUUGUUUAUAUUGUGUAAGUGACUGAUCCCUCACUGUGGCAGAUGGCAACGUCCGAGUCCGGGCUAUCUUCUAUCGUAUUUACUAGCUGGUGUGACAGGGCAUCCGAAACAAGUUUUUCUUUUCCCAGUUUAAAAAUUAGAUUUCCACCAUGUUCAUCGAUAAACGCUUUCCAACGUUUUAGCAUAGCAUUAGGAUUCGAACGUUGGACACCGCGAAUGAAAGUGGUGGUGGUUUGUGAAGAUAUUUAUAUGCCUAACAGCAUAAAGAUAGUUUUGAAGCUUAUUAAGUGACCCUACUAUGGCAAGCAGCGCCCCUCUCAUGAUCGCGAAGUUUUGUUUGUUGUCGUGCAGCGUGCGUACAAUCAUUGUGAUUGGAGGGCCGUUCUGAUAUAGAAUAGCUCCUAGACCAUAACCGGAGGCAUCGGUGGUAUAAGUUUGAAUAUACCGGUUCCCCAUUUGUUCUUAUAGUUGCGAUGGUAUUGAUAUUUAAAGGCAGAGCUUCGUUAGGGUCUGGGAAUGCUUUAAUUCUUUUCUUAAUCAUUUUGGCAAAUGAUUCUCGGACGGUUGUCAGAACAUCGCCAUCGUCAACUUGAAUAAAAUUGUCGUUGGGGGAACUUGUAAAAUGGAUGGGUUCUGAGCCGUAUCUCGUUUUUAUUUGAUUAUUAGAGAAGCCAAUGGUGGCAUUGACUUUUUAUCUAGACAAUCUAUUAUUGGAUUGAAAUGCAACACCUCGUUGUACAAUGCGAGCAUGACAUCUGCAUCGCCUUUAAUUGUAUUCCUUAUAAUACCAACAGGUAGAUAAUGUCUGCUGCUACCCACAUAUUUCAUAUGCUGCAUGAGCAGGGAAGUGCCAAGAGACAUAUUUUUCUUGACUACCAUCAAAAUUAGGCAUUGAUCUCACCAUGUCAAGGGGCUCGUGUCAUCUGUCUAUCUGUCAUCACCCUAUUGAAACACUUCGACUUGGCGGCCACCAUGCUUUUGAUCUGUUGCUUAUUCAUAUUAUUAUCUUAGAUGGGUCGGCACCAGUGUUGGUGUCAUUGCCAACACGGUUCGAGUCUUGAUAAGCUAUAUGGUGUGUGUUCUUGCUAAUUCAAGGGGUGUUGUCUCUGAUAUAUAUUGGUGUUGGAUCGAAAGCCUUUUUUUGACCUUUCAAGAAUCUUAUCUCAAGUGGGCGUGUGUGGAUGGUAUGAAGUUUUAAUAAAGGUUUUACAAAUUUAUGAGCAACACGACUGACUUCUAUGAUGAUGCUUACAGAACUGGUUUCUUAACAUAAAUUAAGAUUAAAAGGACCGAGCAAUAACAAAGUUCGAAAGAGAGCGAGGCUUCGUAAAUGUGUAUGAGUGCUUAUGACAUUCAAAUAGAAGAGAAUUAGCAUAAUCUUAACAUGAUCUGCUUUGACAUUGCUAUUAAUACCCUGACUAAUAUAUAUAUGAGGUAUAUGACCGAACUUCCGGCCGCUUUGAAAAAUUAUCUUUCAAGAGACAGUUAGAACGGCCAGCUUAUAUACUGGCCGGCAACAGAGUCCAGAGGCAGUGCGAAUAUAUGCGAAACGAACCCGGUCAUCUUUGCCACUCACAACAGACUCAACACGCCCUAAUUUUAAGUGUAAUGGCGGUGUGUUGUCCUCAUGUAUGAUGACCAUAGAGUCAACUGUGAGAUUUGGAGAAGCCGAAGUUCAUUUUGUCCUGGCUCGAAGCUCGUUCACAUACUCCGCAGACCAACGACGCCAGAAUUGCUGUUUAACAGCUGUGAUCUGCUCGUAACGAUCCAAGUUGGAGAUGUUGUUGGUGAUAAUCUCACGUUUGGGCAAAGCGCGCGGUGCAUCUCCAUUUAGAAAGUGUCCUGCAGUGAGAGCGCUGAAGUCGUUGGGAUCAGAUGAUAGCGGUGUCAGCAGGCGAGAGUUGAGUACUGUUUCUAUUUCAACGACUGCGGUGUUCAGUUCCUCAAAGGUGAACCGGGUGCUAGCGGGGGGAACGCACCAGCAGACUCUUUGCGCUCUUGACAGCGGCCUCCCAAAGACCGCCAAAGUGUGGAGCCCAAGGUGGAAUGAAAUGAAAGGUUAUCUCUUUAGAGGAACAAUAUGAUAGGAUAGCAUCUUGAGUGCUAGUGUUGAACAUGAACUUCUUUAACUCGAGUAGCUUGUUGGAUGCUCCGACAAAAUUUGUGGCGUUGUCACAAUAGAUGUGCGAUACUGGUCCGGGCAACCAUGCGUUUCAACGAUUUCAAAAACUUAUUCGUUAAAGGAUCUGACACGAUUUCAAUGUGAACGUCCUUUACGGCCAUGCAGACAUAUAUGGCAAUAUAGGAUUUUGUGGGACCUUUGCCACGUAUUCGAAGAUAGGUGUUCACUGGACCGCGGAAGUCGACUACAACGUGGCGAAAUGGCUUGUCUGUGGAUAAGCGCUCAGGUGGCAGGAAACCCAUGACUUGACGAAGUAGAACGGGACGAUAUCUGACACAGUGUACACAAGAACGAACAAUGCUGCGUGCUAAAGCUCUUCAUUUAUGACCCAGAAUUGAAGCCGCAGCAGUCCAACAAAUGCCUUUGGUCCUGCAUGGUAAUUGCGCAAGUGAAGAUGCCGAACAUAAUUGUGGACAAAUUGCGAUUCCUUGGGAACAAGUUAAGGAUGCCUUUGACGAAAGGGGAUAUCAGCAUGCUCGAGUCUGCCGCCAACCUUAAUGAGCUCGUAUCCAAAAGCGUCAUCUAUGAAGGGGCUGAGAAAUUUCAGAUUGCUUUUCAAAUCUCUUUGUUUCCUUAGCAAUUGCAAAUCUUCCUUGAAAUAGUGCUGUUGGAUGAUCCUGAUGAUGCAGUGCAACGCGUGGCGAAGUUCUUCUGGGCAUGGCGGCGAACUUUCGACAGGGUGUUCCUUUUUGGCACUAUGGUAACACCGGAACAUAUAUGACAUAACUUGAAGCGCCCGAAUGUAUGAACUAGUUCCGUUCAGCCAGUCCAGAAUAGAAUUACUUUCGAUAAUUGCAGCAAAUGUAGACUUCCGUUUUUCAGCAUCGAUGAUGUCCAUGUCCAAAUCAUUGUCGAAUUGUUGGCAGGGCCAUUGAGUUUCGGAAUCACACUGAAACGCAGGUCCUGCAAACCAAAUUGAUUGCUGGAGCUCAUUAGCUGGGCAUCCACGUAACACGAUGUCAGCAGGGUUCAAUUUUGACGGUACAUGUCUCCACUUUCCAUCUGCUGUUUGAUCUUGUAUAAUGGAUACUCUAUUUCCAACAAAUGUCGACAAGGUGAUAGAGUGUUUUUGCAGCCAGUGCAAGACAAUCUGCGAAUCAGACCAGAAAUGCGCGCUGUGCGGCUUGCCGAUGAAUUUGUCUUUGACAGUUGUAUAUAACUUACUCAGAAGUUGAGCUCCGCUUAACUCUAAUCGAGGAAGCGUCAGCUUCUUUACAGGAGCCACCCGAGAUUUAGGUGUCAGAAGCUGAACCUGGACAUUGCCAUACGAGUCCGUGGAACGCACAUAUACUCAACAGCCGUAAACACGUAUUGAUGCGUCCCAGAAAGCGUGCAGUUGUAUGUGAGCUCAGCUUGCAAGCAAAAACGGGGUACUGAAAUCGACGACUAUUCCUUGAGGGACGUUACGCAUUUUCUCCAUGCUUGUAGAAGUGAUUGCGGAACAAAUUCAUCCCAGGCGAGUUUUAGCAGACAUAGCUUCUGUAUGAUGAUUUUCGAGACGAUAAUGAUUGGUGCCAGCAAUCCUAAUGGAUCGAACAAAGAAGACGCAGUCGAGAGAAUAGCCCUCUUUGUGACUGUUGAAUACAAUUUUUUGGGUUUAAAUUCAAAUAGUAGUACAUUACGACGUUGAUCCCAAGCUACGCCAAGUGCGCUAGUGACAGCGUUUUCAUCCAAGUUUAAAUCCUUUACCGAUUCGUCGUUCCUGACGACGGGAUGAUUGGAGUGCCACUUAACCAAUGGGAAGUGUCCUUGGCGAAGUAUCUCGGUGACCUCGUGUUUGAUGUUUUGCAACUCGAUGAGCUCGUUUGCUCCGUAUAGCAGAUCAUCAACAUAAAACGAUGAUUGUACAAUGGAUGCGCCAAUGGGAAACUCGUUAACAUGGAGAUCUACCAGAUAUUGCAAACUGCGAACUGCUUAGUAUGGGGCCGAGGCCGUUCCAUACGUCACUGUAUUUAGCUCAAAGGUCUGCAAAUCAGCAUCAGGGGAUGCUCUCCAAAAUAUAUAUUGAAAUUUUCGAUCCACUGGGCUGACUAAAACUUAUCUAUACAUUUUCGUAACGUCCGCUGUGAUGGCGUAACGAACUAAUCGAAAACGAAGGAGAACUAUAUACAGAUCUUCUUGGAGUGUUGAGCCAACGAGAAGCAAAUCAUUCAAUGAAUGCUGGGACGAUGAAGUGCACGAGGCGUCAAACACGACUCGUAACUUCGUUGAUGCACUGUUGGGUUUAAAAACACAAUGGUGAGGAAUAUAAAAGUGUGGCUCACUUAAUCUCGGAUUCGUCACUAAAGUCAUAUGGCCAAGAUCCUCAUAUUCUUUCAUGAAGGUUACAUAUUGCGAUUGAACAGUAGGCUGCUGACUGAGGCAAUUCUCGAGCGAUAAAAAACGACGACGUGCAACAUCGCUUGAAUUGCCAAGGCACAUUGGAUCUCCCUUGAAAGGUAGACGCACAACAAUCCUGCCGUUAUUUAUCUGUGUUGUCCUUGAAAACAUAUCUUUAAAGAGCCGAUGUUCUGGAUUGAUUGAGAGAAUUUUCUAGAGCAUCAAUGCUCCACAGUAAUUGAAGAUUUUCGUCAAUUGACUCCUUCACAGAAAGCAAGCGAUACUUGCCAGACACAACCCAUCCAAGCAACGUUUUUUGAAGGACUGGCAAAUUGCCUACGAGCUUACUAAUCCCAACAGCCAGGCAUUCGAAAACUGCUUCGGUACCGAGAAGGAGAUCAAUCCGACCUGACCUGUGGAAAGUUUCGUCCGCAAGUGGUGUAUUCGCAGGCAACCUCCAAUCUGAGGUGUCGAUUUCCGAAUCCGGCUGGUAGGCAAUGUGAGACGUUAUGCAGAACUGUAGUGUUACUUCAAAUGGUGACAAACAAGAAUUAAUUCCAGUAGUUGUACAGUUGUUAAUUUUAGUCGAGGUCUCCCCUAUGCUGCGGAUUUCGAAAUGAUGCUUAUCACGGCGUAGAUGCAGCCGUUGGGCGAAUUGAUCAGUUAUGAAAUUGACUUGGGAACAUGAGCCAAGCAAUGCUCUGCCUUGUUUAUACGCCCCUGACGAACCUCGCACUAGUACCUUUGCAGUAGCAAGAAUUAUUUGUCCGCCUGGCGAUUGAUUCAGAAGGACAUUUGCGCUAUGGAUGAUGGCGAUGUAGACGAUGAUGAUGCAGGCGGUUGGCCAAAAUGCAGAAGCGUGUGAUGGCGAUGCUUCCAGCUUCGACAACGAUUGUUAGACGGACACUGAGCCAUCCGAUGUCCUAAUUGAAGGCAAUUAAUGCAAAGUCCAGCAUUUUUUACGACUCCGUACUUUAGUUUAGGACUCAUGUCUUGAAACUGAGAACAUUGUACAAUUUUAUGGUCGGAGCUGGAACAAACAAUGCAUUUGGGAUUAGUAAUAGCAAAUGAUAAUCCCUUGCUAGGCUUGUACACGUGUUUUUGUUUCGAAGAAUCAGUUAUUCUAUACGAUGCAAUGCCGCUUGAUAACAGAAACUGACAAUGACGUUCCAAAAAAGUUGUGCAGUGAGCCGAAUUUGGCAAUGUACGUAAGUCAAGAGACUCAUUCCACUUGUUACGAGUUUGCUGGUCACAUUUUCCGAUGACGAUGAAUAUCAACAUGGCUUGGGCAAUAUCUGAUCCGGUACCCAAUGACGAUAAUGAUGAAUACAGGGCUGACGCAUUGUCCAGCAGACUGCGCAGCUGAUUUCCGUCCGGUUUGUCGACUGGCUGUAGAUUGAAUAGUGAUUCUAUGGUGUCAAAAAUGUAAGUGUAGGCUUGUCAUAACGUUCACUUAAACGAGCAAGAGCCUUGGGAUAAUUUUCCUGAGUGACUUGGAAUGCCUUUACUGCUUGUAGGGCAGGGCCCUUCAAGCAAUUCAGCAGAUGAUUAAACUUUUCAAUGUUCGAAAGAGAGUGCUCACGACCAAUAAUCUGAUUGAAUGAUGUAAUGAAGUUUUUAAGCUCUGCUCGUUUUUCAUCAAAUACAGGCGGAGUCAAUUGAGGAAGACUCGAUGGCGGCGAAGAGCGAAUUGGAGCAGGGUUAGAAAAUGAGGUGCUGUGCAGUACAUCAUCCAGUUGGGAUUGGAUGGACAAUGGAUGAUACUCACAUAUGUGUCUUUCACCUCUGCAACUCCAUUGUCCUGAGGAUCUUCCAAUUCAAUUUCAGAUUGUACUUCCAAAACCUCCUUAAUGUAUAUCUCCAACAUGUCCAAGCGUAAUUGUAGCUCACCGUGUGAUAAUCUUUUUUCACUGCCAUCGACCUCAGUAGACACUCUUACAACAUCCUCUAAGUGUGCGACAUUGCGUUUUAUGUUCGCUCGCUUACGUAAGUUUGCUUCAAGAGUUGACAUUAUGUAUCGAGAAUGUUGUGAUCACCGAUGUGACCGAGCGGCAGUUUUGAUACUGCAGAAUUUUCACAGCCUAACUUUAACCUGAUAAUGUCACUCUCAGCAAUGUGAGCGAGCGAGUUCAAAUGCUCCCACUGUUAACAGAACAGCUAAGACUUGUAAAUGUUGCGCUCGCUGAUGUGAGGGUCGCUUGCAGUGAUGAAGCAAAAUGCAAAGAACAAGCAGAGGCAGCGAGUUUCCAGCGACGAAGCAACGGCAACGAGAAAGGAGAUGUGAGGAAAAGGCAAUGAGCAAUCAAACUCAGAGCGUAUCCAGCGCGAAGUAACGGCUACAAGAAUGCAGUAGCGAAGCGAAGGUAGCGAGUUUCCAGCGACGAAGCAACGGCAACAAGAAAGAAGAGCUGGCCAAAUGUUGCUGUCGAUGCAUUAUUUUGCGAGGAGUUCGAUGAAACCUUUUUCCAACGAAAUGUUGUGCGGCAACGAUACGCCGGCAAUUUCCACACACUAUCCCCAAUGUUGGGCGCCAAAAUGUUGGAUCAAAAGCGUUUUUUUGACCUUUUAAGAAUCUUAUCUCAAGUGGGCGUGUGUGGAUGGUAUGAAGUUUUAAUAAAGGUUUUACAAAUU